AGUGAACGCUGGCGGUAGGCCUAACACAUGCAAGUCGAACGGCAGCACAGUAAGAGCUUGCUCUUACGGGUGGCGAGUGGCGGACGGGUGAGGAAUACAUCGGAAUCUACUUUUUCGUGGGGGAUAACGUAGGGAAACUUACGCUAAUACCGCAUACGACCUACGGGUGAAAGCAGGGGAUCUUCGGACCUUGCGCGAUUGAAUGAGCCGAUGUCGGAUUAGCUAGUUGGCGGGGUAAAGGCCCACCAAGGCGACGAUCCGUAGCUGGUCUGAGAGGAUGAUCCGCCACACUGGGACUGGGGCACGGUCCAGACUCCUACGGGAGGCAGCCGUUGGGAAUAUUGGACAAUGGGCGCAAGCCUGAUCCAGCCAUGCCGCGUGGGUGAAGAAGGCCUUCGGGUUGUAAAGCCCUUUUGUUGGGAAAGAAAAGCAGCAGGUUAAUACCCCGCUGUUCUGACGGUACCCAAAGAAUAAGCACCGGCUAACUUCGUG
rnacentral:rRNA from 1 species